AGAGGUGGCAAGCGUUGCUCGGAUUCAUUGGGUGUAAAGGGUCUGUAGGCGGUCCAGUAAGUGCCUGGGGAGAUUCUCUACGGUUUAACCGUAGCGCGCCCAGGUAGACUGCAGGACUUGAGGACUGGAGGGGCAGGCGGAAUUCCCGGUGUAAGAGUGAAAUCUGUAGAUAUCGGGAGGAACACCAGUGGCGAAGGCGGCCUGCUGGACAGUCCCUGACGCUGAGAGACGAAAGCGUGGGGAGCAAACAGGAUUAGAUACCCUGGUAGUCCACGCUGUAAACGAUGAGGACUAGGUGUCGGCCCGUUUUGGGUCGGUGCCGCAGGUAACCCAUUAAGUCCUCCACCUGGGGAGUACGUCCGCAAGGAUG
rnacentral:rRNA from 1 species